rnacentral:rRNA from 1 species
GAUGAACGCUGGCGGCGUGCUUAACACAUGCAAGUCGAGCGAGUGAGUUCUUCGGAACGAUCUAGCGGCGGACGGGUGAGUAACACGUGGGCAACCUGCCCCAUAGAGGGGAAUAGCCUCCCGAAAGGGAGAUUAAUACCGCAUAAAAUUAUCGAGUGGCAUCACAUGAUAAUCAAAGGAGUAAUCCGCUAUGAGAUGGGCCCGCGGCGCAUUAGCUAGUUGGUGAGGUAACGGCUCACCAAGGCGACGAUGCGUAGCCGACCUGAGAGGGGGAUCGGCCACAUUGGGACUGAGACACGGCCCAGACUCCUACGGGAGGCAGCAGUGGGGAAUAUUGCACAAUGGGGGAAACCCUGAUGCAGCAACGCCGCGUGAGUGAUGAAGGUCUUCGGAUUGUAAAGCUCUGUCUUUGGGGACGAUAAUGACGGUACCCAAGGAGGAAGCCACGGCUAACUACGUGCCAGCCGCCGCCGUAA